GAGAAGAACGUAGCGAAAUGCGAUAAGUAGUGUGAAUUGCAGAAUUCAGUGAAUCAUCGAAUCUUUGAACGCACAUUGCGCCCUUUGGUAUUCCUUAGGGCAUGCCUGUUCGAGCGUCAUUUAAACCUUCAAGCUAAGCUUGGUGUUGGGUGACUGUCCGCUUCACGGCGGACUCGCCUCAAAAUUAUUGGCGGCCGGUACAUUGGCUUCGAGCGCAGCAGAAACGCGAACUCGGGCCCGUCGUAUUGGCUCCCAGAAGCUAUCUUCACAAUUUUGACCUCGGAUCAGGUAGGGAUACCCGCUGAACUUAAGCAUAUCAAUAAGCGGAGGA
rnacentral:misc_RNA from 1 species